rnacentral:rRNA from 1 species
AUUGAACGCUGGCGGCAGGCCUAACACAUGCAGGUCGAGCGGUAGAGAGGUGCUUGCAUCUCUUGAGAGCGGCGGACGGGUGAGUAAUGCCUAGGAAUCUGCCUAGUGGUGGGGGAUAACGUUCGGAAACGGACGCUAAUACCGCAUACGUCCUACGGGAGAAAGCGGGGGAUCUUCGGACCUCGCGCCAUUAGAUGAGCCUAGGUCGGAUUAGCUAGUUGGUGAGGUAAUGGCUCACCAAGGCGACGAUCCGUAACUGGUCUGAGAGGAUGAUCAGUCACACUGGAACUGAGACACGGUCCAGACUCCUACGGGAGGCAGCAGUGGGGAAUAUUGGACAAUGGGCGAAAGCCUGAUCCAGCCAUGCCGCGUGUGUGAAGAAGGUCUUCGGAUUGUUAAAGCACUUUAAGUUAGGGAGGAAGGGUAGUAACCUAAUACGUUGCUACUUUGACGUUACCGACA